GCCGUGCUGCGGGACAGGCGCCUGGGGCGGUUCUGGCGGGACCGUGAGCCCGCCGAGGUCUACGAGCCGUUCAACCUGUUGCACCGCA
rnacentral:tRNA from 1 species